UGGGGAAUAUUGCGCAAUGGCCGCAAGGCUGACGCAGCGACGCCGCGUGGGGGAUGAAGCAUUUCGGUGUGUAAACCCCUGUUGCUCGGGACGAACAACGAGUUUCGACUCGUCUGACGGUACCGGGUGAGGAAGCACCGGCUAACUCCGUGCCAGCAGCCGCGGUAAUACGGAGGGUGCGAGCGUUGUCCGGAAUCACUGGGCGUAAAGGGCGCGUAGGCGGUCUGCUAAGCGUGCGGUGAAAGCCUGGGGCUCAACCCCAGGUCUGCCGUGCGAACUGGUGGACUGGAGCACUGUAGAGGCAGGUGGAAUUCCGGGUGUAGCGGUGGAAUGCGUAGAGAUCCGGAAGAACACCGGUGGCGAAGGCGGCCUGCUGGGCAGUAGCUGACGCUGAGGCGCG
rnacentral:rRNA from 1 species